GUGGACACAAGUUAUGGGAUGAACUAUAAGGAAUGUCACCUCAAUGUCACUGCAGUGAAGGAUCGACCCGAACCUGAGACAACGAGUGACACCAGACUGAGAUGGAUCGUUCUCUACUGUGUACUGGGACUACUGGGACUUACAGCAGCUCUACUGGUUGUUUAUUCAUUCUAUCGCUGCAUCACAAAAAGGAUUAGAGAUCAGUACAACAAACAAUACAUCAAAACCUCAAUUAAAGUUAUUGAUCCUUUAAAUGUUUCGCACAGAAACAGUCUGAGUUGUUCUGACGGAAGUCCAGCUGAGACACAUCUGGAUCUUUGGAUGUCUCCUGUGUGUCUCAUGGACCAACAGCAGCAUGAAGGUAUCAGUGAGUCCUGGGACUACUGGGACUGACAGCAGCUCUACUGGGAUGUUUCUUUAUUUUCUAUCUGCAUUGCAAAGAAAGAUUAGUGAUCAGCAGAACAAAUGAUAUAUCGUUGUUAAAUUAAAGUUUUUGCACAGAAAGUGUCUGACUUCUGACAUCAAAGUAUGAAUGUGUGUUAAUGUACUGUGUACAAGUCAAAUGAAAUGUUUUCAUUGCAUCGCUUUCUUUUUUUUCAUCCUGAGUGUAAAUUGUAUUUUUUCUUUCCAUAUUAAAAUCACAAAUCCAAACCCA